GUACAAUCAACGGUCGAUGGUUUUGAUUUUAAUUCCAAACUCACCGACAGCGUUGAAUGUUCACUGAAGCAACCUCUAAACUCAGAAUUCUGUUGACUUUACAGCCUCUUUUAGACUGCUGCCUGAAACAAAAAUGAGGGAAGGACAAAUGGAAGGAAGAAUGUGUAUGUCACUCCAUUUUUCCACAAUGCAUGGAUGAAUGACACCAAAAUUUGGCAAAUAAUACUGAUUUGAAAGCUUGGAGAAAACACACCGUUCUGUGAAGCCACACUGCAAGACUGUCUCUGAUAAGUCUUCACCCAGGCAUUGCUCUCAAGGAGGACUCAGCCCAGGAAUCAGAGACAGAAAGUCUGUCGCCGAGGAUUCGGACUCGAGGUGCAGCUGAAAGUGUGAAGGAGCCGUUGCUUUCGGCUCUUGUCUGUCAGGAGUUUGUGAUUACGAGCUGGAAAAAGUGCACCCCUUGCAGAGGCUCAAGUGCCUGAAUUCUCCAACGGCGAUUAAUUAGGGCGGCCAAAAUUCAAAGUAAGGAAAUAACUAACAAGUUUUCAGAAUGAAUGGAAUUAAUUUACAAUGUAUGGUAGGCGAUCUGCCCAAUUGCUGUGCCCUUUGGACAAGUAAAAUGAUGAAGAGACUACAUAUUCUACUAAUUCCAUGUGAAUUUCUUCAGCUAAUUCCUAGAGCUUUUGUGUUCCAUUACAUAUAG
ensembl:lncRNA